rnacentral:rRNA from 1 species
UACAGAGGGUGCAAGCGUUGUUCGGAAUUACUGGGCGUAAAGCGCGUGUAGGCGGCCUAUUAAGUCAGAUGUGAAAUCCCUUGGCUCAACUGAGGAACUGCAUCUGAUACUGGUAGGCUUGAGUGUCGGAGGGGAUGGUAGAAUUCCUGGUGUAGAGGUGAAAUGCGUAGAUAUCUGGAGGAACACCGGUGGCGAAGGCGGCAUCCUGGACCGACACUGACGCUGAGGCGCGAAAGCUAGGGGAGCAAACGGG